ensembl:snRNA U1 U1 spliceosomal RNA
AUACUUACCUGGCAGAGGAGAUACCAUGAUCACGAAGGUGGUUUUCCCAGGGCGAGGCUUAUCCAUUGCACGC